rnacentral:sRNA from 1 species
AGCAUUGAAAAUAAAACCACAACAA